UACGAAGGGGGCUAGCGUUGUUCGGAUUUACUGGGCGUAAAGCGCACGUAGGCGGAUCGUUAAGUCAGGGGUGAAAUCCCGGAGCUCAACUCCGGAACUGCCUUUGGUACUGGCGAUCUUGAGGCUGGAAGAGGUUAGUGGAAUUCCCAGUGUAGAGGUGAAAUUCGUAGAUAUUGGGAAGAACACCAGUGGCGAAGGCGGCUAACUGGUCCAGAUCUGACGCUGAGGUGCGAAAGCGUGGGGAGCAAACAGG
rnacentral:rRNA from 1 species